rnacentral:sRNA from 1 species
UCCCGGGUUCAUCCUGCCUCAGCCUUCUGAGUAGCUGGGACUACAGGCGCACGCUGCCACGCCCGGCCACAUUUUUUUUUUUUUUGUAUUUUAGUAGAGAUGGGGUUUCACCGUGUUGCCCAGGCCCGUCUCGAACUCCUGAGCUCAGGCAGUCCUCCCGCCUCGGCCUCCCAAAGUGCUAGGAUUACCGGAGCACCCGGCCAGCCUGCCUCCUUUCUUCGAGUAGAUGGAUUACGUCAUGGCAAGGCUGCUUUCCUCAUUACAUUCUGACCACUUUGAGUAGAAACUACUUUGCUUUAAGAUUGUUACUGCUUCUGUUUUCACUGUAAUGUGUUUGAUAGGUGAAAGCAAUCACCUGAGGGUAACCAAGUGGCUGUUUUUAGGAAGUGGAGAGACUGAUUUCGGACCUCAGCUCCAGAACCUCGAUAAGAAGCUCUUCACGGUGGUCGCCUGGGAUCCUCGAGGCUAUGGACAUUCCAGGCCCCCAGAUCGCGAUUUCCCAGCAGACUUUUUUGAAAGGGAUGCGAAAGAUGCUGUUGAUUUGAUGAAGGCGCUGAAGUUUAAGAAGGUUUCUCUGCUGGGGUGGAGUGAUGGGGGCAUAACUGCACUCGUUGCUGCUGCAAAAUAUCCGUCUUACAUCCACAAGAUGGUGAUCUGGGGUGCCAACGCCUACGUCACUGACGAAGACAGCAUGAUAUACGAGGGCAUCCGAGAUGUUUCUAAAUGGAGUGAGAGAACAAGAAAGCCUCUAGAAGCCCUCUAUGGAUGAAGUCUCACUCUGUCACUAGGCUGGAAUGCAAUGGCAUGAUCUCAGCUCACUGCAAUCUCUGCCUCCUGGGUUCAAGCGAUUCCUCUGCCUCAGCCUCCCAAGUAGCUGGGACUACAGGCGUGCACCACCACGCAGGUAACAUCUGCCGGCACCUGCUGCCCCGGGUCCAGUGCCCCACCUUGAUUGUGCACGGUGAGAAGGAUCCUCUGGUCCCGCAGUUUCAUGCUGACUUCAUUCAUGAGCACGUCAAAGGUUCACGGCUGCAUUUGAUGCCAGAAGGCAAACACAAUCUGCACUUGCGUUUU